rnacentral:tRNA from 1 species
GUCUCAGUAGCAUAGUGGUUAGCGCACAGCCCCGGAUAGGUUGAGACGCGGGUUCGAAUCCCGUAUGGGAUA